CCCUGCUCCUAAUGGAUGCUGUGUGUGUGUUCUUGCUAGAAUAUGGCUGCUCCCUCGAGGAUGACAUCGUAUCUGACACAUCCUCCAUGUUUCGAAGGGUCCUCGUGUCCCUCGCAACGGGAAACAGAGAUGAGGGAACGUAUGUGGAUGAUGCCCUUGCUCAGCAAGAUGCCCAGUGCCUGUACGAAGCGGGGGAGAAGAAAUGGGGAACCGAUGAGGUGCAGUUUAUGUCCAUCCUCUGUACACGGAACAGUUUUUGAUGUGUACGGAGGCAUUGCUAACAAGGAUAUAACAGACAGCAUUAAAUCUGAGAUGUCAGGAGACCUGGAAGAUGCUUUGCUGGCUG
rnacentral:lncRNA from 1 species